rnacentral:rRNA from 1 species
GAUAAACGCUAGCGGCAGGCCUAACACAUGCAAGUCGAGGGAGAAGCUCUUCGGGGCAGAAACCGGCGCACGGGUGCGUAACGCGUAUGCAACCUACCUUUCACAGGGGGAUAGCCCGAAGAAAUUUGGAUUAAUACCCCAUAAUAUUAUUGGAUGGCAUCAUUUGAUAAUUAAAAUUACGAUGGUGAAAGAUGGGCAUGCGUCCUAUUAGCUAGUUGGAGUGGUAACGGCACCCCAAGGCUACGAUAGGUAGGGGUCCUGAGAGGGAGAUCCCCCACACUGGUACUGAGACAGGGACCAGACUCCUACGGGAGGCAGCAGUGAGGAAUAUUGGUCAAUGGUCGGGAGACUGAACCAGCCAUGCCGCGUGCAGGAAGAAUGCCUUAUGGGUUGUAAACUGCUUUUAUAUGGGAAGAAUAAGGAGUACGCGUACUUUGAUGACGUACCAUAUGAAUAA